UACGGAGGGGGCUAGCGUUAUUCGGAAUUAUUGGGCGUAAAGGGCGCGUAGGCGGCCCGGUAAGUCAAAGGUGAAAUCCCUCGGCUCAACUGAGGAACUGCCUUUGAAACUGUCGGGCUUGAGGCCGGGAGGGGGUAGCGGAAUUCCCAGUGUAGCGGUGAAAUGCGUAGAUAUUGGGAGGAACACCGGUGGCGAAGGCGGCAUCCUGGACCGACAUUGACGCUGAGGCGCGAAAGCCAGGGGAGCAAACGGG
rnacentral:rRNA from 1 species